UCCGGUUUGUUUCCGGCAGUCUCUGUAGAUGUGCAACUACAGACAAGGGUUGCGCUCGUUGCGGGACUUAACCCAACAUCUCACGACACGAGCUGACGACAGCCAUGCAACAUCUGUGCAUCUGUCCUUGCGGAGGGCCUGCUUUCACAGGCUUGCAAAUGCAUGUCAAGCCCAGGUAAGGUUCUUCGCGUCGCAUCGAAUUAAACCACACGCUCCGCUGCUUGUGCGGGUCCCCGUCAAUUCCUUUGAGUUUUAGUCUUGCGACCGUACUCCCCAGGCGGGCCACUUAAUGCGUUAGCUACGGCACGGAAGGGGUCAACACCCCCCACACCUAGUGGCCAUCGUUUACUGCUAGGACUAC
rnacentral:misc_RNA from 1 species